rnacentral:rRNA from 1 species
AUUGAACGCUGGCGGCAUGCCUUACACAUGCAAGUCGAACGGUAACAGGUUAAGCUGACGAGUGGCGAACGGGUGAGUAAUAUAUCGGAACGUGCCCAGUCGUGGGGGAUAACGUAGCGAAAGCUACGCUAAUACCGCAUACGAUCUACGGAUGAAAGCGGGGGAUCGCAAGACCUCGCGCGAUUGGAGCGGCCGAUAUCAGAUUAGGUUGUUGGUGAGGUAAAAGCUCACCAAGCCUGCGGUCUGUAGCUGGUCUGAGAGGACGACCAGCCCCACUGGAACUGAGACACGGUCCAGACUCCUACGGGAGGCAGCAGUGGGGAAUUUUGGACAAUGGACGCAAGUCUGAUCCAGCAAUGCCGCGUGCAGGACGGAGGCCUUCGGGUUGUAAACUGCUUUUGUACGGAACGAAACGGUGAGCUCUAAUACAGUUUGCUAAUGACGGUACCGUAAGAAUAAGCACCGGCUAACUACGUGCCAGCCGCCGCAGUAA